AAAAUAACAAUGAUUUCCCUAGUAACGGCGAGUGAACAGGAAAGAGCUCAAAGUUGGAACCUGUUUGGUUUAGCCAAACCGGAUUGUAAACUGUAGAAGUGUUUUCCUGACACGCCUGACGAAAAAGUCCAUUGGAACAUGGUGACAUAGAGGGUGAGAGCCCCGUAUUUUGUCAGAGCUGUUGUCUCUUGUGAUACACUUUCAAAGAGUCAGGUUGUUUGGGAAUGCAGCCUAAAUUGGGUGGUAAAUCUCACCUAAAGCUAAAUAUUGGCAAAAGACCGAUAGCGAACAAGUACCGUGAGGGAAAGAUGAAAAGAACUUUGAAAAGAGAGUUAAACAGUAUGUGAAAUUGUUAAAAGGGAACCGUUUGGAGCCAGACUGGCUUGAUUGUAAUCAAUCUAGAUCUCGAUCUGGAUGCACUUGCAGUCUAUGCCUGCCAACGACAAUUCAUUCUGGAGGAAAAAACUAAGUGGAAUGUGGCCCCUCGGGGUGUUAUAGACUCUUAGAAAAUACUCUGGUUUGGAUUGAGGAACGCAGUGAAUGCUAUUUGGCGAAGAUGCUGGGUGCUUUUAUUUUUGUUGUCUAGAAUUUCUGCUUCGGGUGGUGCUAGAUACCACGAGUAAAACUCGCCUAGUAUACUUUUUAUUCACUUAGGUUGUUGGCUUAAUGACUCUAAAUGA
rnacentral:rRNA from 2 species